UACGGGAGGCAGCAGUGGGGAAUAUUGCACAAUGGGCGCAAGCCUGAUGCAGCCAUGCCGCGUGUAUGAAGAAGGCCUUCGGGUUGUAAAGUACUUUCAGUCGUGAGGAAGGUGUUAAGGUUAAUAACCUUAGCAAUUGACGUUAGCGACAGAAGAAGCACCGGCUAACUCCGUGCCAGCAGCCGCGGUAAUACGGAGGGCGCGAGCGUUAAUCGGAAUUACUGGGCGUAAAGGGCACGCAGGCGGUUAAUUAAGUUGGAUGUGAAAUCCCCGGGCUUAACCUGGGAAUGGCAUUCAAGACUGGUUAGCUAGAGUCUUGUAGAGGGGGUAGAAUUCCAUGUGUAGCGGUGAAAUGCGUAGAGAUGUGGAGGAAUACCGGUGGCGAAGGCGGCCCCUGGACAAAGACUGACGCUCAUGUGCGAAAGCGUGGGGAGCAAACAGGGAUUAGAUACC
rnacentral:rRNA from 1 species